UUUUCAGCAGGGACUUUGAAGGUAAGCAUUCUAUUUUUAGUUCUACUUGAGAUUAGCUUGAUGUCUUAAUACUACUUUGAGAACACAUUAAACUAGCAAAAAUUUGUUUUAAAAAUAAUUUUUGAUCCUUCUUUCUUCAUGUUAAGGGAUUUGGCCCCCUUUCCAUCUCUCUCUCUUUCUCUGUGCUAAUUAACUCUGGGUUAGUAAAGUCUUUCUUCAUUUAAAAAUAGUUUAUUUGUCUAUUUACCUUAUACUGGGUCUCAUGGCUAUUUAUUAUUCUUUCUUUAAAGUCUUUGUUGUACUUCAUAAUGAUAUAACAAAACCAACUGAAUAACAAGAGGAGCUAGUUCAUUUACAUCAGAGGGAAUUUAGGUGCCUUUAGGUCAAAGAGAAUGGGGACAUGCUUAAUUUACCUUAGUAAAAAUAACUCGAUUUUCUUAGAAGCAUACUGAACAAAAGUAAGAAAGGAGAAAUAAGAGGAAACUUUUAAAGAUUGGCUUUUCAGAGAUUUUUGAAUGAUGACAGAUCUGGUAGAUAAUUCAGGUAAACCUAGCAAUUUACAUAGAAACUGUAGUUAUUCAUUUUCUUUUUUUUUCAUUUUUUUAUUACUCAAAUGAAUUUAUCACAUCUGUAGUUGUAUAAUGAUCAUAACAAUCUGAUUUCAUAGGAUUUUUUAUUUUAUGAUUUAGUUUUAACUUUAUUUCAUGAGCACCAUUGGCUGUAGCCAUUUUGACCAUCCACCCCCAUUGCAAACACAUCAAAUGGGGAACAUGCCUGGGACCCAGCCAAAGCAUAGUGUCUCCUGAAGAGUACAAAUAGCUGUAUCUUGAAGCCCAACAUUAUUCCCCACAGCAAAAUUUUCAUGAAGGUGCCUAUUUAGCCUGAAACUUUAGAUGAUACCUUUUUUUUUAUGUUCCUGGUUUGGUUCAUUUUUAUUAUUUAUGCUAUUGCAUGAGUCAUUCCUUUGGUAUUGUUUUUCCAAUUCUGCAUUAUUACUUACUUUCUAUGCAAUUAUCUUAUCUCUUCAAAUUCAUUUAAGCUUUGGGAGACCACAGACCUUUUCAUUUACAUUUUAUUUUUAUCACACACCUAACAUCUCAAUGCUGGAGAUGCAGAGAGAUGUUCAAUAAAUAUUUCUUAAUUUGAUUUAUUACAGCUCUUAUUAGUUCUGUCUGCUUCGUCUGGGUAGUACAUUCCCUUCUGUUUGGUAUAAAGCAGACGGCACUGGAUAGACUUUGAAAUGCAGUCCAGAGUUAAUAAUCUCUGGGAAACCUGAUAUGCUUUUAAAUUUCCCAGAUCUCUUGUUAGAAAACUCAAGAGACUUUAAGCAUCAACUUUCCAUAAUCUGUUAGCUCCUUUGGUGUACAUUCAUAUCUCUAGCAACAUCACGAGGUGAACAGGGGCUCCACAAAUCUUGGGAUUUGUUUGAAAUUGGCAUUUAAUAUAUAUAUAUUUUUUCUUUCUUUCUUUUUAAAAGCAUUUGGGGAGAGUUCAACUGCCAGGUCCCUUGAGCAAAAUGGUUUUCUUGACACUGCUUCUGUGUUGUCUCAGAGCCAUAUAUCUGGCCCUGGAACUUGAAAACAGGAAAAGGAGGGGGAAGGAGAGAGACCUUCUGUUCAUUCCCAGUGACAAUCCUUCGGGAUUCUAAGUACUCGAAUAUUUUCAAUUCACUGGGAGGCUUGAACCAUAAUGGAAGAAAGCAAUACAUAGAAGUCCUAAAAUAGUGAACCAAUUUCAUCUAAAUCAUAAUGUGUUCCAAAGGACAGAGGCUGAAAUCAUAUCUUCUUGAUAGAGGCUAAUUAUAUAAAUAGCUCUUCGGAAUCCUAUCAACUUCUCUUGCCUGCAGUCUGAGGCUGCAUCUACACAAUUCAUAUACAAUUCUUGGAAACUAUUAUUUUAUCUGGAUCUGUUUAAAUAUCCAGAUGUUUGGCAGCAAGUAAACCAAACAUCCAGGUGACCGACGGAAUUUUUUAAUCUUUCUCACAAGUCCUGACAAAGACAGUAAGAAUGCAAGUUAGUUACUGGACGAUUCUGGGCUUAAUAGUCUUUACAUGAAUUGAAGAACCAUAUUCAUGAAGGAAAAUAACCCUUAGAACUCUGCUUCAAAUAAUAGUCCUAAAUAUUCUAAAAUGCAGAGAGGCUGUUCUGCUCUCCUCUUUCUGCCCCGGCAUGGAGGACGUACUAGAAAGUCAGGCUGAUAUAUAGAGGGGUGAGGAGGUGUUUCUUCAAUAACUGCUGUGAGUGAACUCGUGCUGAGGUGACAUUCUAUAGAUGCUACGUUGAUAAAUGCUAUAGGAUUGCACCUGGAAACCCAGAGAUAAGACAACUGAAAGGGUAUGAAUUCCAACUGGUAGCAAUCUUCAAGGUCAUUUUGCUUGAAGUCCUUUUAGAUGAUUGAAUGAUUAAUAGAUAUAGCAACCCCAGGAAACACAAACAGUCCAUUUAGCAGCCAUUUUUUGGUUUGGAAGGAAUUCUUUAUUUUUAUGAGCAUUAUAUUUCGGAUUACUUUUUAUGUGUAGUGUCUCCCACUGACUCUUACAAUAACUGGGAGUCUUAAUUGAUGGCAUUGAUAGGACUGCCAUAAAAUCUGGUGGUAACAGAAAUUCAAGACACUGAAUAUUUUUCUUAUCAUGAACUUUCUCUGGUUUGUCACCAUUCUUUCUCCACCUCAAACUCUAAUUUUCCAGUGACCUUUAUACAGACUGACCCAUUGUUUCACAGUUGUCACUAUAAAGGCCCUCCUUUAGUUUGAUUACUUAGGGAAUUAUACCAGGUAACUGCAAAAUAACAAAAGAAUGGAUACCACUGAUCGCAGUAAAUUUUUUUUCUUCUUCUGUUUUUCAGCUACAUGAUAAAAACAGGAUGCUUCACUCUCAGGGCCCAGGGGCUGGCAUGACUUAUCAAAGCUGCCUUUUCCCUUUCCUCUGACUUUCCCCUUUGUUUCCUUGAGGGAUGUAGAAAUGACAUCAAACCAUUCAAAAUAGCUCAGCCCUAUUAUAGAUGACCAAAGAAUUAUUUGCUUUAUUUUGAAAAACAAAUAGCCCUAACCUUUUGUUUGGUACGGAAAACAAACAGGAUAUAUUUUUUCAUUGUCUCCAGGUUUUUAUCUCAUCCUUUACUGCUCUUUUGAAAUAAACUAAAUUAAUUUUAAAAGCAAAGAGGAAUAAAUACAUUUUAUAAAGAGAAGAUGUAUUACAAUUUUCCUAGUAAUGUUCUGGUAACAUCUUACACACGGUGACUGCAGAUCUCAUUCUCCCCAACCAAUGACCAUGGGUCUACAUCAUAACUAUUUUAAAGACACAGGAAAGCAAAUGAAAUUUCUCACACUUGGAUGUCAAGUGGGUUUCUUUCAAAAAUACAUGUUAACAUUUAGCAGGGUGUUCAAUUUGCACUAUGUCAGUUCCUCAUUUGGCCUCUUUUUAAGAUUCUCUUUCAGCUUUUCUCAGCCAGUCAGGUCUAGAUCUAGUAUCACCAAGUUCAUCCCCCAGCAGCUAUAACCUCAUCAUUGAGCAGAACCAGGUCUGUAAGAUGCUACCCAACUCAAAACCUUCCUAAACCAUAUCACCAAAAGAAGCUGAGCUAUUCCAGACAAGGCGUCUCAUCACUUGUAUGAUGCCAGCCCUCCAUCCUACCUUAGUGAGCUCAUCGCGAACAACUCUAGAAUAUUCCUCUGCCUCACCUCUCAAGAACUGUAUCUGAUUCUAUGUGUAUGGGUUUCUUUGUGGCAUCUGUCUUCAGGGCUGUGCAAUUCAAUUGAAAUAUCUGCCACAGUGCAAAUUUAAAAAUAUGUUUGCACUGUCUAAUAUGGUAGUCUCUAGCCAAGUGUGACUCUUGGGUACUUGAAAUGUGGCUAGUUCACCCCAAAAGUAGAAUCUUUAAUUUUAUACAAGUGAAUUAAUCUAAAUUUGCAUUUAUAUAUCGACACAUGUCGAGUGACUAACAUAGUGGAUAAUGCAGCUUUGGAAUUCUCAAAAAUGUGCUUCCUAGUCCAGAAUUCCUCAAUGUAUAGGUCCACGCCUAUGGCAUACAGAAAUUCCCAGGCUAGAAGUCAAAUCAGAGCUGUAGCUGCAGGGCCUAUGCCAUAGCCACAACAACACCAGAUUCAAGCCUUGUCUAUGACCUACACCACAGCUCACAGCAAUGCCAGAUCCUUAACCCACUGAGCGAGGCCAGGGAUUGAACCUUCAUCCUCAUGGUUACUAGUCCAGUUUGUUACCACUGAGCCACAAUAGGAAUUCCCUAACAACAUUUCUGAUCUUUAUUUUGUGAAAUCCAAAAAAUAGUAAUUCUCUUCUCUCCAAAGACUGGGAUGAUAAGAACAUUUAAUAGCUUUUGAUUAUAAUACAUGAAAGUCUAAUGUUGGGCAUUUCAAUCUGAAGUUCCAAAGGCCAUUUGUACAUUGGCCAUUUAACAUUCCAAUUGUUUUCACUUUCCAUAAUUAGAAACCAUAUACAAUGUUAUGAUAAGUUAUUGGUAGAUGUGAUGUUUCAAAUAGGUUUCUUUUUCUUUUCUUUUCUUUUUUUGGUAAAUUCUCAGAAACUAGUCACAAAAUACAUUUAUCUCUAUGUAGACCUGUGGUUGCCAAGGGGGAGGGGGAGGGAGUGGGGUGGUUGGGGAGCUUGGGGUUAAUAGAUGCAGACUAUUGCCUUUGGAAUGGAUUAGCAAUGAAACCCUGCUGUGUAGCACUGGGAACUAUGUCGAGUCACUUAUGAUGGAGCAUGAUAAUGUGUGAAAAUAGAAUGUAUACUUGUAUGUGUAACUGGGUCACCAUGCUGUACAGUAGAAAAAAAAUGUAGUGGUGAAAUAACUAUUAAAAAUAAUUAUAAUAAAAUGAAAAAAAAAUUUUAAAUAAGAGAUUUAAAAAAAAGACAUUAGCCUGGGACAGUUCAGGUCUCACGUUCCGGUAAAAACAUGUCUUAUUAUAAU
rnacentral:lncRNA from 1 species